GGCUCAGUGGUUUAGUGGUAUAAUACGCCCUUCGGGUGGGUGUGGUCCCGGGUUCGAUUCCCGGCUGAGCCC
rnacentral:tRNA from 1 species